UGGGGAAUAUUGCACAAUGGGCGAAAGCCUGAUGCAGCAACGCCGCGUGAGUGAUGAAGGCCUUCGGGUUGUAAAGCUCUGUCUUCUGGGACGAUAAUGACAGUACCAGAGGAGGAAGCCACGGCUAACUACGUGCCAGCAGCCGCGGUAAUACGUAGGUGGCAAGCGUUGUCCGGAUUUACUGGGCGUAAAGGAUGCGUAGGCGGAUACUUAAGUCAGAUGUGAAAAUCCCGGGCUUAACUUGGGAACUGCAUUUGAAACUGGGUAUCUAGAGUGCGGGAGAGGAAAGUGGAAUUCCUAGUGUAGCGGUGAAAUGCGUAGAGAUUAGGAAGAACACCAGUGGCGAAGGCGACUUUCUGGACCGUAACUGACGCUGAGGCAUGAAAGCGUGGGGAGCAAACA
rnacentral:rRNA from 1 species